GGAGAUUGAUUUGCUGUUGCAUUUAUUUGAAUGUUGUUAUUAUCAAGGAAAGGCCACACUCACCUGCCUUCUCCGUCUCACGUAUGAAGACCUCUCACAGAAACGUCUAAAUACCUGAACAAGCUGUUGUAUUUCCCCUGAGAAGGCGCUGCGCUUGUCCCAGACAACGCAAGUCAGCUGCCCUCUGCCAACGGGAAUUUUACGACCGACCCUCCUGGCUAAACGGUGCUGAUGGCUGCCGGGCAGCAUCCCGGUCUGGCUCUGCCACUUACCAAAUAUGGGACAAGAUCUGCUGACUUCUCCUGAGCCCUCCUCCUCCUCUCCUCAUUCUCCCAGGGACCAGGAACACGAAGGUUCGGGAGCAAUUUUACUGUGGCUGGAAGCAUCAAGUGGACCCCACACCUAUCUCUCUCCUGAAUAGACACGAGGUUGGUCCUAGGUCUGUUCCUACUCAGGACAGAGACACACUGGAGUUUGAUCCAAGAAUCUUGCAGCGACACUCAAACUCUAGAAUUACAGAAACUCCAUAAAGAAAUCUGAGGGGUUUGGUUUUUUUUUUUAAUUGGAGGCUACCUAAGUGCUUAAAAAAUAAGAGAUCGGUUAAUAAAAUUAUGAUACAAUUAAAGCA